rnacentral:rRNA from 1 species
GAUGAACGCUGGCGGCGUGCUUAACACAUGCAAGUCGAACGGAAAGGCUCCUGCUUGCAGGGGUACUCGAGUUGCGAACGGGUGAGUAACACGUGGGUGAUCUGCCCUGCACUUCGGGAUAAGCCUGGGAAACUGGGUCUAAUACCGGAUAGGACGAUGGUUUGGAUGCCAUUGUGGAAAGUUUUUCGGUGUGGGAUGGGCUCGCGGCCUAUCAGCUUGUUGGUGGGGUAAUGGCCUACCAAGGCGUCGACGGGUAGCCGGCCUGAGAGUGUGUAAGGCCACAUUGGGACUGAGAUACGGCCCAGACUCCUACGGGAGGCAGGAGUGGGGAAUAUUGCACGAUGGGCGGAAGCCUGAUGCAGCGACGCCGCGUGGGGGAUGACGGCCUUCGGGUUGUAAACUCCUUUCGCUAGGGACGAAGCGAAAGUGACGGUACCUGGAGAAGAAGCACCGGCUAACUACGUG